AUGUGGACAGGGCUGUGGUUUGUCAGAGCUCAACUGCAGGGUGUGUGUAUGCAUAGGUGUGUGUUCAGGUAUGUGUGCAGGAGUGUGCACAGGUGUGUGCUCAGGUGUGUGCUCAGGUGUGUGUGCAGGCGUGUGCACAGGUGUGUGUGCAGGCAUGUGCUCAGGUGUGUGCUCAGGAGUGUGCUCAGGUGUGUGCAGGAGUGUGCUCAGGUGUGUGCAGGAGUGCGCAGGUGUGUGCUCAGGUGUGUGCUCAGCUGUGUGUGCAGGCAUGUGCACAGGUGUGUGCUCAGGUGUGUGUGCAGGCGUGUGCACAGGCGUGUGCUCAGGUGUGUGUGCAGGCGUGUGCUCAGGAGUGUGCUCAGGAGUGUGCUCAGGUGUGUGUGCAGGAGUGUGCUCAGGUGUGUGCAGGAGUGUGCUCAGGUGUGUGCUCAGGUGUGUGUGCAGGUGUGUGCUCAGGUGUGUGCACAGGUGUGUGCAGGAGUCUGCUCAGCUGUAUGUGCAGGUGUGCACUCAGGUGUGCACGCAGGUGUGUGCUCAAGUGUGAGUGCAGGAGUGUGCACAGGUGUGUGCAGGAGUGUGCUCAGGUGUGUGCGCAGGUGUGUGCACAGGUGUGUGUGUAGGUGUGUGCACAGGUGUGUGCUCAGGAGUGCACACAGGUGUGUGCUUAGGUGUGUGCUCAGGUGUGAGUGCAGGUGUGCAUGCAGGUGUGUGCUCAAGUGUGUGCUCAGGUGCAUGUGCAGGAGUGUUCUCAGGUGUGUGCACAGGUGUGUGCAGGUGUGUGGACAGGUGUGUUUGCAGGAGUGUGCUGAGGUGUGUGCGCAGGUGUGUGCAGGUGUAUGCUCAGGCGUGUGUGCAGGAGUGUGCGCAGGUGUGUGCUCAGGUGUGUGCAGGUGUGUGUGCAGGUGUAUGCUCAGGUGUGUGUGCAGGAGUGUGUGGCAUGAGCUGUGUGCACUAGGUCGUGUGCAGGUGUACUGGCUCAGGCUGUGUGUGCAGGAGUGUGCCAUUGCAGGUGUGUGCACACAGGACGCAGCCUUUUCAGCCUCAUCUGGAGAGCACCAUCCCCACUUCUGCCUUUGUCCACAGGAGAGGGGCUUGUGCGGGGGACCAGCAAGCGCUGCCUGCCGGAGGCCCCGGAUGUAG
rnacentral:lncRNA from 1 species